rnacentral:rRNA from 1 species
GAUGAACGCUGGCGGCAUGCCUAAGACAUGCAAGUCGUACGCGAGGGCCCAAUGACGUUGAAGGAAGUGGAAAGUGCUUGCACCGGAAAUGGAAUUCAACUGAUUUGGAUUUUCCCUCGAGUGGCAAACGGGUGAGUAACACGUGGGUUACCUACCUCUAUGUUGGGGAUAACAGUUGGAAACGAUUGCUAAUACCGAAUGUGCUCUUCGGAGUAAAGAAGCCCUUAAAGCUUCGCGUAGAGAUGGGCCUGCGGCGCAUUAGCUAGUUGGUGGGGCAAUGGCCUACCAAGGCAACGAUGCGUAGCUGAGCUGAGAGGUUGAUCGGCCACACUGGGACUGAGACACGGCCCAG